GCCAAAUUUUUUACUGACAAUAAGUUUUUUUUGUACGUAGGUGUUCGUCCGACUUGACCUUCUCCAACGUUAGCUGGAGUCGUACGCGUUCUCAGGAUGGCGCAGUUCCACUUGCUGGACCCUCACUACGACGAGCACCACAGGGGCCGUCUCACCGCAGAGGGAGAGGUGUUGCCCGUUCUGCGGGUCCGGACCCACGACCGGUUUCUGGAGGAGAUGAGGUACGAUGAGAGGUACACUCCUCUCCUACAGAGGGCUGGCUUGGACGUCUUAUCGUACCAGGUCCGCCGUGGGCU